AUUGAACGCUGGCGGCAUGCCUUACACAUGCAAGUCGAACGGCAGCACGGGGCAACCUGGUGGCGAGUGGCGAACGGGUGAGUAAUGCAUCGGAACGUGCCAUUGAGUGGGGGAUAACGUAGCGAAAGUUGCGCCAAUACCGCAUAUUCUGUGAGCAGGAAAGCAGGGGACCGCAAGGCCUUGCGCUCUUUGAGCGGCCGAUGUCAGAUUAGCUAGUUGGUGAGGUAACGGCUUACCAAGGCGACGAUCUGUAGCGGGUCUGAGAGGAUGAUCCGCCACACUGGAACUGAGACACGGUCCAGACUCCUACGGGAGGCAGCAGUGGGGAAUUUUGGACAAUGGGCGCAAGCCUGAUCCAGCCAUGCCGCGUGAGUGAAGAAGGCC
rnacentral:rRNA from 1 species